GAUCAUGGCUCAGGAUGAACGCUGGCGGCGUGCCUAACACAUGCAAGUCGAGCGAUCUCUUCGGAGAGAGCGGCGGACGGGUGAGUAACGCGUGGGUAACCUGCCCUGUACGCACGGAUAACAUACCGAAAGGUAUGCUAAUACGGGAUAAUAUAUAAGAGUCGCAUGACUUUUAUAUCAAAGAUUUUUUCGGUACAGGAUGGACCCGCGUCUGAUUAGCUUGUUGGCGGGUAACGCC
rnacentral:rRNA from 1 species